UGGGGAAUUUUGGACAAUGGGCGAAAGCCUGAUCCAGCCAUGCCGCGUGAGUGAAGAAGGCCUUCGGGUUGUAAAGCUCUUUUAGUCGGAAAGUAAGAGUCGCAAUGAAUGAUUGUGAUUUAUGACGGUACCGACAGAAAAAGCACCGGCUAACUACGUGCCAGCAGCCGCGGUAAUACGUAGAGUGCGAGCGUUAAUCGGAAUUACUGGGCGUAAAGGGUGCGCAGGCGGUUUUGCAAGUCAGAUGUGAAAGCCCCGGGCUUAACCUGGGAAUUGCGUUUGAAACUACAAGGCUAGAGUGCAGCAGAGGGGAGUGGAAUUCCAUGUGUAGCAGUGAAAUGCGUAGAGAUGUGGAAGAACACCGAUGGCGAAGGCAGCUCCCUGGGUUGACACUGACGCUCAUGCACGAAAGCGUGGGGAGCAAACA
rnacentral:rRNA from 1 species